CCCUCAAAACUAAAUCACACCCCUAAUAGUUAAUUUAAUGCAUUUAAUAUGAGUUCCUUAAUUAAAUUUAUAUAGAUUAGAAAAAAUCGGUUGACAUUGUGGACAGUAAAGUUGCAUUUUGUCUAUUAUCUUUUAAAAAACUAGCAUAAAUAUGUGAUUACGCGUCGAGCUGUUCGCUAAGAAGGUAGAAGGUGAAUUGUCGCGUACGAAUUCGCAUUUUUCAUAUCAUGAUUAGAAAAGUGGCAUUUUCGCGAGGAGUCAUACUCUUUCAUUUGCAAACAUAUAGCCGCUUCCUUGGAAUUUCCGGCGUAUUUUGAGAGGCGAGGAACGCGAAAGAAGAUAAAAUAGACGAAACGAGUCGCCGGGAAAAGAGGACACGAAAAGCAGGACAGGAUAGGAGGCGAGACGGGAACGGGGGCAAGGUUGUAACGUUUUCAGGGUGGAUUCCCGGCUAAUUCGAAACAACCUCCGCUCCUCCCUCGGAUUACAAGCGAGUUGGGAGGGAGAGAAAUUGGAAAUGGGAUUGCGCCGUCAGGAGAAAAGCUUUUUCUCUUUUAAAUAACUUACGGCAGCCCUCGAAAAUCGCGGACGUUCCGUCCUCUCGAGAUUUCCACAGAAACUUAUCCGAGAAUUUGCACGCUAUACCGCAUGCAUGCUUAAUUUGCGAGCACUCAGCCAGUUACCAGGAAAUGAUUUUUUAACUAUCUCGAAGAAGUGCUGAGCGAAAAAAAUUGCGGCGGAUCUAUUAAGUCGGUUUGAUUGUUAAUAAACGUUAUUGUUUCGAAUAAAAAAAUGUUAGCAGGAAACGUUCCAAAAAUCCCGUCCCUUUUAUCGUUCCGGCUAUUUAACGCGGCGCGCUUUUCUCGCAGCCUGCCAUUUAUUACUAUUAUCACCGCUGAAUUUACGCUAUUUAUUCCCGCUUGGAUAACUCAUUCGUCCAGCGAUCCGAGCGCGCAUCCGACGUUACGUUCGCCCAGCAUCACGCUUUAUCGCCGCACGAUUACCGACGCGGCACGCCGAUCGCGCGAAUUCCGGCGUUAUCAAUCUUCGUCAGGAAUUUCAUGUGACGCCCGCACGUAUCGACGUCGACGAGGCACGGUGAAAUGGAGUCGCGGACGACGUCGACGCCAAAGUCGGCGUCGCCGUCACGGACGCGGCAUAAACAGGCGCGCACGUGCGAAUCCGCGCGCGAUGUCGCGCGGCAAAAGUUAUUUACGCUCGGUGCAACCCUCGGACCCGCCAAGUUCCGCGACGCGUGAAACGUGCCGCGUGAAACGUGCCGCGUGAAAUAUGACGGGGUCUCGGAACACGUCAUCAGUUUUUCUUCGCCGCCCUUUCUUCACUCGCCCAUAAUUUAAUAUUCGCGAGGCCGGCGCGACGCGGACUGGUCUUUCCAUUUAUCGUUAAACGCGCCGAAAACUUUGCGAACUUUUUUUUAUUGUAAGGACGCAACGCGACUAUUGUUCUUUAUGAAACGUCAUUAAUGUGAGGCUAUGCGUUUUCCGACGUUUUGCUACGUGUCGUGGAGCUUACACCACCGCCGAAUUUUUUUCUCUGAUGAUGUUUUUUCCGCUUGAUCGUGUAUGCAAGUAUUGCAAUGCUUGAUAUGCAAAUAAAUUUUUUUUCUUUCUUUUUAUAGAAGUUUGUGGUUAAUGACUGAACGAUGCUUUCCCUCGAUAAUUAUUUUUACAUUCGGUUUGUUUGUCGCCAGCGCGUGAAAAUUUGCCCGAAACGCGCUGACGCACGACACCUUUUUAUUCACCUUUUAACGGAUAUUUUUUUGCCACGCACGCAUGCACGCACGUGCGUGUACAUUUCUGCUUGGGUUUUCAACCGCGUGUUUUCAACCGCGUGUUUUCUUCCGAGGUGCAGCGAUGUUUCACGCCAGAUGGAAAACACGCGCGCGAUAAUUUCCCCGCGAUAAAUUGUCCGCCGCUUGAAAAUUUUCGUUUGCGCCGUCGCGAGAGAUGCGCUCCGCGGGCUGUGCAACGACCCCGCGACCCCUUGCAAGGAUCAUCGCGUCUUUUUUCCUUUUGCGCGUUUGGACGUUACUCAUUCGCGUUUAACGCGCUACGUUUUCAUUAUGCAACCGGCGUGUUGCCGGCGCGCGGUUUUAUAUGCGUGGCCGCGCCGCGUUUCGCCGCGAAAAGCACGACAGCGAUAACGCGAGCGAGAUAAUAAAUUGGUUUCGCCUUUCCGGAACAUGUCUGUUUGCGGAACGUAAUAUCUGUGACGCGACUGUUUUUCGCGUUCCGACAAUGCCGCCGCCGGCUGUUCUCUCGUGCGUGGAGCACGUUCGCCGUUCUGCCAAGCUCGUUUCGCAUUUUCCGCGAGACGAACACGAAAUUCUGUUCACGAAUAAAAUAUUUCUGUUUAUCAUCCCUUUUGAACGAAGAAAACACCAGCACGUACAAUGUAUAAAAAUGGAAAUACGAUCCUGCAGGAUCAAUAUCUUUAUGGCCCGAAAAAUUAAUUUUGUAACAGGAGAAUAAGAGAUGGCAUGAAAACAAAUUCCAAGAAUAGCGAUUCCAAAAAUUGCUCCGAUCCAAGAAUUAUUUUGAAAUUCCAGGAAUCACUCUUUGAAUAUUUUCGUCGUCGUUGGUAACGUUCGUGGUCCGAUUUCUGGCCCAAAACAUUAAUUUGGUAGUGCCGGAAAUCAAUAGUGCCGUGGAUCAAUAUCUGUUUAUCACGCGCGCUUAUGAUAUAGCUAUAGAUUUACCGUCACAUCUAGUGUGAUUUAUCACUUCUAACUUAUCAGAUUGUAACUUGAAAUAUCUCGCAGGAUGAGAAUCACGAGGAUGCAUGAAUAACGCAAUCGCGACGGUUAAUGCGAGUAUUUUUCGCGAGAUCUUCCGUCGUUUAAUUAAAUACUUCCGCGAAAGUGACAUAAUUACGUCCAUUUCACGACGUUAUGUCACGAGUCUCUAAAUGACCGUCCAUCAGCCGGCGUAGUUAGACACCUCGUACUCCGGAUAAUACCGCUUUUUAGCACGUACUUCUGGAAUCGUAAUGUGGCAGAUGUCAUAAGUCGCCGUUACCAGGGUGGCCUUAAUGGCAUUAUGGAACGUCGUUGGACGAACUGUCAGCGAAGAGAUGAAAGUAUGAAGACAUAAGUGACAUCCGACAUACAGAGAGCGCAUUUACAGGGGCAGAACUGACGUCGUUUACCUUUUAUUUUGCACUCUGUUGACAGAUCAAGAGUGAAUUAUUCUUACCCCCAAGAAACGCAACCUCCUUCUUAUUCUUAUAAUCCUCUGUCAGAUUCUUAUCGUGGUAUCCUACGCUUCGCGGUAUUCCAGUCAUAAUUUCAACCCAUCAUUCAAGUGAGAUUAAAGCGUAACGCGAGCUACUUUAGCGCCAAUCCUGUUCGCUACCAACAAAGGGCAUUGCGAAUGAAAGGAUGUACGCUAUGCGGGAAACGCGAGGAUUUCUAUAAGGAUCAUCUGGCUGCAAAUUGCGUUCAUCCAGCAUGAGGUGCUGUUCGAAUCGUUUUCGUCUCCGAAGCCUUGACGCGACUCAACAAAGCGUUUAAUCCGUGCCGCUUAAAUUCACUCGGGGCCAAUAUCGUUCGCAGGAUUAUCGUUCUUUUAAUUUGCGGCGAUUCGAGGCCGCAGCGAAGGGAAAGGAAGGUAAUUGGCCGGGGUGUCCUCAAGGUCGUCGUCCAGGUCGAUGGACAGAGGAAGAUUAAAAAAAAGAAAAAACUAAAGGAGAAAGAGAAAGAGAGGAGGAAGGGAGAAGGAAAAAACGGGAUCAGAGAGUCUCUCGAGAAAUUCGUGACUAAUUAGAACAAUGGCGGGACACUCGGUGAGUAAGCAGGAUUUUAAUGGACAGACCUUCCAAUCAUUAAGGAGAAGUACUCUCUUCCUUCGCCUAGCCGUGCCUUUCCUCGUCGCGCGUCUAAUCUGCCAUCCUCGAAAUCCGCCGGCGAAGGACGAUGCUAUCUCGGGGGCCAAGAACCCGGAGAUCUCGUCAAGGCCGUCGUAUUUAACGCCGGCUUCAUUUCGGUCGGACGCUUCAAGAUAUGACGCGUAUUCGAAGUAAUUACCGAGUGAACUUUUAUCGUUACGGAGAGAUGCAGAUGCAGCACCUCACCAGCAGCUUUUGAUAUACUUAACAAAGCAGCACUUCGGCGCUUCGCUGCGCUUCAUUCGUAAAAUGAGUUCGCAAGCGCAAUUUCCGUAAACGCGUUGCAUUAAACUAGGAUAUUCUCGCUAAGAUGAUCGCGGAAAUUCGUUUUUCCGAAAUACUGUCGAAUAAAGAGAAAUAUUAAAGAUAAAAAUUUUACGGAAAGGAUUUGAUGAUUAAUGGUUUAGCCUCUGCGAGUUAUAAAAUUGCCUGCAACAAAGAAGUAUAGUACGGAGAGGAAGCAGAGAAGAAGUUAUUUAAUUUCUUAUAACUCAGCAAUUUGUAACUGAGACGUGCUCGUUACACAAAGAUGACGUUCGAGUUAUUACAUUCAUGUCGAGACGGGCGCAAUUAAAGCGGAAUCAUUGUCCUCGCAUUUAGAAUUUUAUUUAUGAAGAGAGAACUACUAUUUUCCGAGCGUGAUACAUUAUCGCGUUGAAAAAUUCUACCUCGGCGCGCAGCUCGGUGUCUUAUUUCCUCCUCAUAAUAACCGAGUCGCUACCAUAUCUCCGCCAAGAGAAGCGCGUACUUGCUAUUUUUGAAUUUAAAGUGCAACUUAGUGUCUCCCGUGAUGUAUCUCGCGAAACUAAAGAUAAAAGCACGGCUUGCAGCGACCCUUUUUCCGCUCGGCUUCGCUCGCGCGGCGAAUUUACGUAGUCUGAGAACUUGUGCUUACAUACUCCUGGAAUAUAAUGAGAUUUUUAAUCAUCGCGUUCUUCAGUUCAACCUUUUUAUCGCGCGCUGAAUAUUAUAUACGAGAAUAUUACAAUAAUACGGUAAUUUUCUUCUAAAUUAUCGUAAAUACGGUAAUUUUCUUCUAAAUUCUCAUAUGUUGAGAGGGAGAUUCGAUCAGUGCAUAAUAAUGUCCAAGUUUGUCAAAGAUACCCGUGCGUUAAGUAUCAUGUUACCUCACGAAAGGCGGAGUACUGGUGGCGUACUACUGCAACGUGUAUGAAUAAUUCAAUGAAACGAUAACGGCGUGUCGCGUGCUAAUUUGGGGGGUCGCGUUUCUACCUAAUAAUUCAUAUAGUUAAUGAUAUAUCAGAGCGCCGUCCCGCGCUCGACAAUUCAACUCUAAGAUAAGGUACCGCAGGGAAUAUUUUCUAGUAUCGGGAUAAACGCGAUAUUAUAAUACAUGAAUUAAUAGCUCGAAAAGAAAACAGCAUUUAUCAUGCUGCUCCAGACACACACAUAGACACGCACCGUUUAUCGUGCUGCUCCACAUACGCAGUAGCAGUGUUAAUCAGAUUUCCGAAAGGAUAAAAAAACCUUAACAAACACCAGAAAUCUAUUAACAUACUGGAAAUUGUAACUGCAAUUUCUUCGAGGCACUCUGCGUUCUCCAUUACAAAAAUGUAACGGUUCGAAGGGUUCGACCUAAUGACCAGUGACCCGGAUUCCGAGCGGAAAAUAUGAGCGAAGAAGCUAGAUAAAAACCAAUACAAUCUCGUCGUCGAAUUAAUAACUGGUUGUGCACUCGGCCGAGUCAAUAUGCGACAAUAAUACGCAUCGAUUGGUAAUAAUGGCUCGUCGGGAUAAACAGCGGCGGGGUGACGGGAUGGCGUGGGUGCGUGCGUGUGCGUCGGACCGUAUAAUUUAUGGAAUUAUUCAGCGCCGAUAAUUGCGCGUUCUGCGGAGCGUAUUACAGGAUCGUUUCGUCGCUGGGUUUAUUGGCAAUAUUUGUCACCGCGCGCUCCCGCUGCAACAACCCUUAGACCUUACUUACUCGGCCGUCUUUAUGGGAUACCUGAGCCGGUAUCGUAAUUAUGGCGGGUUAUGGGAUAUAAAGAGCAACGGAGGGAAAGACGAGCGGUAAACAAGAGGCGGCGCGGCGUGCGCGCAAGAGAGAGAAAGAGAGAGGAGUUGACGGUGAGCUCCGGAUCUUGCCUACAGCUGGUAGUGAAACGGCUUUUGUGCUUGCUACAUUUAUGCCACGGAGGUUGUUGAAGGUCAAAGCAUGUACUCCACGAGUAUACAUGGUCGGAGUAUAUCGGGUGGACGAUUCGAAAGACGUUCGGUCGCUUGUCUGCUUACAAAUGAAUCCGUCGAACCUGGCGAAAACUAGUCACGCUUGGAUUAAUCAUUUCGAUCACGAAAUUUAGUUUAUCAUCGGAAAGAUUUUAUUGUGAUGUUCCUAAAACGAGGUACUAUUAAUUAAGAAUAUUUGUGUAAAUUGUAUUAUUGUAUGUUAGAUAAUAUUGGAUUCAAGGAUUAAAUAUGCAACAUAAAUAGCAUUCGAGUGCGAUUAGAAAAAAUAACAUACAGACAGUAUUAAGGUGAGGCUUUCGACGCGUGAUAAUCGACUUCAUCCAUUCGCGGUUGAACUUUCUUGACAUUUUAAUAAAUGUCAUUUACUUUUCCGCGUGACGACCACGACGGUCGAACGAAAUGUUGAAAAAUCCCAUAUCCCGGCGGAGAGGAAAUGAGAGCAUGCUCUUUCCUCUUCUUGCACUCUCGGUGAAUAUAUCUUCGCAAACAAAUAUCGCAAUCGCAAAUAUUUGUGCGAGCGUCCAUUUUAGCGGCCACCGAAUCGCGCGAACCGAGCAAUAGCGUCCCAAUAGCGACCAUGUUCGCGCGCACGGUCGUACAUUCAAUUUUCCGCCUUUUCCAUGGUUCGUCGCAACGCCACGGCUGAUAUUACGCGUUUUCCAUAAACACGAAGACGCAUAAAUGAAAUAAAUGUCAACGCGUGGCAAGAGAAAAGAGCGAGAUUCCGACGCUCGCUUCUUUCUUAUUUGAAAUAAUUCGUAAAAAAUAUUUACACGCGCAUAAAAUAUAAAUAAUUAUAGAAUAUUAAGUAUUUGUUGCAGAUGUAUAAUAGAUAUAUGAAAAGCAUGUUUGAAUUUUCUUUUAUCAUGCUACACAUGUUCAAAUGGUAAGGAAACGUCGCUUUACUCGGUGAAACAGAGAAAAAUCGCGUUGUGCAUUCCGUAUGCACAGCACUUUGAGAAAAUUACGCUGUCGCCGGCAACUUUGCGCAUCCACCUUUGUGUGUGUAAACUUCUCUCUCGAGUGGAGUAAACGAGAAAAUCUGUUUCGCCGUUGGCACGAGACGGAGUUGUGGAAAUGGUUAAAGAACAGAAUCGGACAAGGAGUGCCGCGUGGAGCGACUUACCGAAUUUCCUGCUGUUCGCGGUAGAGAAUGAGGAUAGAGAGAGAGAGAGAAAGAGAGAGAGAGAGAGAAGAAAACUAUAGAGUGAGAAUAGGAUGAGAGGAAAAAAAGUUUAUCGCGCCUCGGCAGAGAGGGCGAGUGCGACUGCCGGAAAAUCUGGAAAAUUAUUGCUGCACACUGCCGCCGCCGUGCACGGCGAGAUAGGAUUCGCAUCGCGACCAAGAAAGAAGGCCUCCGGCGGAAAGAAGCUGCAGGUGCAACUCGCACGUGCAGCGCGACAGAUGCGGGUGUAAAACGAGAACGAGCACAGGCGACAGAAGUUCGCGAGCUCGUCCGGAAAGUUUCGAUUCGAAGAUUCGGAGUAUGGGAAAUAUCGCCGGAAGCGUCUGCCGCUGAUAGAUGCUUAAUUCACGAAAACAUGAAAUAGACGCACUCCGAAAUUUAUUCUGAUGAUGAGUCUCGAAGAUAGCCAUUUACGUUUUCACGUGCAAUUUUCGCUCGCCAUUUAUCUUCUUACUUUCUCAAAUGUUCUCUCUUUCUCUUUCUCCGUCUUUCAAGGGCUUUCGCGUCUCGUCUUCACGUCUCGCAUAAUGAAACACAUCGAUCGUAUGGCGCGAUGCUAAUCGCAGCACGCCGAAAAUGGUGAUUUGUUCUAAACGAAAGAUUUAUAUUCCAAAGGAAUAUAAAUUUUCCAUUAGCGAGGAAAGUUUCGAGGAAAGUUUCGACGAGGAUGAUUCGGGGCUAGCGAACCUUUACGAUGAAAACGUUGCGGAUGCAAAGUUCUGUUUUAGAGCACAACUUGCUGAUAGUAGAAUGAGAAAGUGAGAUAGAGCGGGACCAUGGAUAUUUUGAAAUUCGUAUCAGUAGGAAGUUUACGAUGAUGCUGCGCAGACGCGCUUCAUCUCUGCCGUGCGGCAAUAAGUUUCGGGACUUAUCUUCGGGAUAAACGCAAUUCUCAGAAAUUGAGAGACUUCCCGCGGAAGUCAGGCCGGCCAUGCAACCAGGCCGGUAAAAGAUGGAAACUCUAAACGAUCUGGGGAAAAUAUAUGUAUGUAUCCUAGUUGUCACAGGAAGAAAGAUAAAUCCAAUAAAUUUGUACAACUAUAAUUAUUACGCAAUUUAUUUUUCAUCAAUCAUCUUCGUAGCAAUGUAUCUUUGCGAAAGAAACUAAAUCUCUUUGCCUCGGAAUAUUGCAAAAUCAGACCACUCUGGCGCGAGAAGUACUCGAUCCCGAAUACGUCGAAGAUCCCGACGCUUUCCCGGAUAUUUCAUCGCCGGUAACGAGAUCAGUUGGCGUUCCUACGACGGUCGCGGAUAGGGCUUCAAGUGGAACGCGCGGCUUGCACCCUUCUGGUGGCAACUGUAUCCACUGUAUUCGAGUACCUUCCCUCGUUCCUUCCCCUGGCGCGAUAAAUCUUGUUAGCGACGUUACCUAUCCUCUUAAUCCGUGGACGCGUGUCCACGUACGUCUAAUCGUUCAUCGAACCAAUGACCAGAGAGCCGGUCCUGCUGCAAAACCUGGCACGCGCACAUUUCCCGCUGUUAAAGGAAGCUUUGAUUACCAAAGGGAUGGAGGAAGAUAUCGGAAGAUGAUACUGCGGGGAGAAUCGGAUCCCGUGAUUGCCGUAGUUGUAUGGAAUCCCAUAGGAGGGGUCGGCUCGGUCGCCGGGUAAUUCAGUUCCAUUCGAGACGACUCGAAUGCCCCCGGUAAGCGCCCGUUGUCAACUUUGGUCCUCUAACUGUAUUGUUGAGUUUUCUCCGCCUAAGCUUUAAAUGAUAGCACAAAUUUCAAGUAAUAGUGCACAAUUUCUAAGAAUGCUGUCCCGCGCGGAAAAUUGAAUUCAGGUUUAGAAUCGAAAAUGGAGAGCACCUGCGAUGCGUAAUAAUGGAGUUUCGUGAAGCAUUUGGUGCAUUCUUGUCAGCACGAGAGAGAUUCGCUGUUCAUUAAAUUCGAUUACUGUCAAUCAGUCUGGGAAGAGUACUACUUGAUCACUGUAGUCGGUGAGGCGAGGCGCAGCUGUUGCGUCAUGCUUGGAUAAUAGAGUUUUCUGUUUGUGAAGUGAAAUUAACAGAUCCUCUCGGCCACACGUUUUAUCACUUUUGUCUAAUUCCCUAAGUCUAAUUUCUAGUAUUCCAAUAACGGAUUUCGGCUGAUUAAAUAGGAAUGUUCGCUUGCUAACGAUUUAAUAUGAUAGUUACUUGAGAUAAGAACGGAAUAAGAGUCAAUAGGGUCAAUCCAUAUGGCUUUAUUCUAAAAAGAUCAUUCGUACUUUUUUCGCAGAUGAAAGAAGCGGAAUGAGGACAAAUGAAAAAAGAUCCUAAGAGGAGAGAAAUCUGAAUAUGAUUUCGUGAUCGGACAAUCGGAAUUUGAGGAUGUGUAAUUAAUUCCCGGAGCAGGGAAAGGAUCGUUAUGAAUAAUGCGGGAAGGUUAAUAAAAGCGCUCUUGAUCUGUCAGAAGACGAGUUUUUCCAGACCAAACAGAAGCGCCUCGCUUCAUCAUCAUCGAUUAACGUAGGCGGACGGAAGCGACUUGCUAUUGUUCCCUCAGGAAACUAGUAGAACAAGCGUGCGUUAUAUUAUGCAAAGCUUUAAUCGCAUGCCUGGGAACCGUCCUGCUAAGGGCAAUUAGCCUUAUGUUCUAUUUAGCGGAGACAGGCAGAGAGAGAGAAAGAGAGAACAGACGCACAAACUAAAUAUAAUAUCUAAUAUUUUCCGCGCUUUAUGUACUCUACUGCAAUAAAAUAUGACUCGGAAAUGUAUAUUUCCUCGUAAAUUGUAUUUCUGACGUUUUGCGCGGCCCCUUUCACGUCGGGUCUUCGAAUCCAUGUAAACCGUAAACGCGGACGUGACGUAAACGGUCCUAAUGAAAUACAUUUUUAAAAUAGAGUUGCACAGAACAAGCGACCUCCGCAUUACGAGCUCGCUUAGAUGCAGAAAUAUUCCAUGCAAUAUUACGCGGAUCUCACAGGGAUAACUUUUUCCCGCAAAUUAUCCUUUGUCUCUCUCUUUCCCAUUCGCCCUUCUUUCUUCUCUCUCUUUCUUCCUCCCUGCGGGGAUCAGCGAGGCACACAAUUCCGAAUUACACUCUGCUCGCAGAUGCGGAUGGACCAUUGUGCGAGGGACGAGCGUCUGCAUGUUGAUCCGCUGACGUGGGCCCCGAGGUGUAUCUGCCUCUAAUAGAGAGUGGCUACCCCUGGGGCAGCUUAUGCCAUUUCGGCCAGACCGGGCGAGCAUUACACCGACUCUAGAUGGCUUUACCCUCGUUUCUUCCUCGAGCUAUGAUAGAGCCGACCGUGUCUCUUCGCUGGUCUAUGCUCGCGCGCCACUACGAAUUAACUCCGAAAUACUCUGUGAUAUUUCGGAACUGCCCAUGGGACUGAGUGGCCAUUGUUACCAGUCUCCAAUUAACCGAAAUAACAUUCGUUAUCAUUCCGCGUUCACGAAAAUGUCAACUGCACAGCUUUCCCUGAGCGGCAAUUUCUUCAGACGAUCGCGAUCAGACGAUGAUGUCGCCGUUUAAUUGUCGCUAUGAUCAUCACAAUAUAGCGAAAGCAGCAAAUGGGACUCUUCAUGCUUUUGCCGAAAUUUAUUUCGUGUUGCCCGAAAAGUCUACGAGCAUGAGGAGAAUUAUUUGAGAGUGUCCUGUCAUCAGGAACAUUAUCGCACACAUUCAACGUCCGUUUUCGUGUUGAAACGCGUGAGGUAACAGUGCUGAUGAUCCCGGCAUCGUCUGCUGGAGAGGAGUGAGCCAGUAAUUUCAUUUGUACGACGAGCGGCGCGCGACUUGCGAGGCGAGUAAAUGAGCGUCGCAGUCGGCAUAAUGCACGACGAAGAAUCCUAUCGGAAUGGCAUUCCCGUCACGGAAACGUUUCUCGUUCCAGCUCCUCCGUCGCUCCUACCGGACUUUAUUGCAUAUCCCGGGUUCUCUUGGCUCUUCUUCGCGCCCCCGCGGUGAGACGAGACGGAGAGAUGCGGCAGUAUAUGCGCGGCCAUACCCGAUUUAUUGCGACAGUGACACGUACAAUGUCGUGCGUGUCACCGUCGCAUGUUCAACGUCUGACAUGUAUAAUGCAGUAAGACGCGCACGAGCAACAGAAUUAAUUCAGGCGCAGCCGAAUCGCGAAUGACGGCGGGAUAAUGUGAAGCGUCGCGACGUCGAUGUCACGUUUGAAGCGAGGAGACUGCACAGAUUUUAAAAUUAGCCACACGUUGUCAAGAUAUUCGGCAAAUCUCGCGCACAUAAGAUCGAUCCGCUGUCGAUAUUCUCUUUAUUCCUUUUAUUAUAAAGGAUCCGCGAAAUUCGGGACCUAUUUUUAUCUCGUAUCUCCCAGAGCACGUACGUGAAACGUACGUCAGAAUGACGGAUAUUCGUGAACAUUGAUUUACUGUUCGGCAGAGACAAGUUUAGAUCUUUCCGAUUUCUCUCGUGCUUGCUAAUAAAUGUAGUCCUCACGUAAAACUGGAACUAUUUCGAAAUGUAGGUCGAUCCCUCCGGCCCUUUCCGCCGCGGUGAAUAUUCUAUUCUCGCCCCAAGUAUUUUCUCUCCGCAUGACACAUUCACCAAUCUUCGAUUUCAAUUAUUUCGUCUGUGCUUUUCUAUGGUAUCUGAACGUUCAGAUACUCGAUUCUCUGCAUUGGCUUAUUAUCGCCUUCCUCUUAUCACGGACGAUCCACGCAUUCACACGUCUGGAUUUUACAUGCGAUUCGUAUGCGGAGGAAAUAAGCAUCGCCGAAAAAACGAGAAAGCGUUUUGACAAACAAGAAGAUAUAUCUCUCCUUAUGCCUCGGCCGCGCUUCUUUUCGCCGCGCCUCGUAAUGGCAAUUUAUAUCCGCGCUUCUCGUAACUCGGACUUCGUGGCGUGAAUACAAAUGAGCGUACGCGUCAGUUCUGCGUUUAAGACAGCCAAGGAGGAAGAGAGAAAAAGAGAGAAUACGUUCACACUAGCAAAAUCACAAACAAAAUGCACACAAGCGCUAAAACCGACGUAUCCACGCACGUAUGCAUGAUAAUACAGUCUCUUUCCGAUUGAUACCUCGAUGGCUUAUUAUUCCUCCCCGUUCUUUUUCCGUGAGUCACGCUGCGCGGCCGUAAAUCCGCACCCAUAAGAGAACGGAAUUUUCGUUCGUCUCCGAAAGAGCGGGAUAAUACCCGAGAACGCGAAUCGCAUCGGCGACGCCGAGCAAGCCCUCAUCCCGAAUGCACCUCCCGCCUCCCGAUCCCUCACCUUCACGUUCCACAAGCGAGGUAACAGCGAGAGACUUCUCUCUGCUGUCGUAUGCUAACCGUCAGAAAACCUCUCUUUCCCUUGUCGUCGUAAAUCUUCCUGAGGGUUCCGCAUGCCGCGGGAUUUAUGCUAAUUUUUAAUAUCCUCGCGCUUAGUCGAAUAUUUCCACCAAAUCGAGCAUUCCGGCUACCUUCCGUUUUGUCCUCUCCAUCUCUCUCGACAGCCUGGCACUGACUCUCCGUCGCAUCUCCUCCUCUUUCUUCUGUCGACGAUGGCAAUGCGACAUAAAUGUAUAACACGGUUGAUGCGUGUGAUUCGCGUACAAAAGCGGAAAAGUACUUUCUCGGAGCGGAAGGCGACCAUAGAGCGAUAUUAAUAUUCUGCGUCCGGUCCGACCCUCGAGAGGACGUAUCGUAUACUCCGGUUUACGGCGCGGUCCUAGGAUUGCCAUUUUCUCGUCCGUAAUCCACGAAUUUCCACAGAGAACGCGGACACGCACGUGUCCGUGCGCUUCGGCACGCUCACCACGCGAGAGAGCGGGCGUGUUCGCGCGUUGGACCAUUGUCUCUCUUUCUCUCUCUCUCUCUCUCUCUCUCUCUGUAUCUCUCUCUCCCUCCUUCAUCCAGAAUCCAUUGUCAUCGCAUAAUCGUCCACCGGCAUGCAUUCCCGGCAUAAUCCUGCUGGCCGACGAGAGGAUCAACGGAGGUCUUACAAUCUACCCUCGCGAUAUAGUUUGUAUAACGACGUCGGCACGUUCUGCCCGCACCCCCGCCGAAAACAUGUAUUCUAUUCACGAAUCACCGUGACGGCUAAUGGACCAUCGUGCUGGCUCACCUUUGUACCAUUUUUCAUCCUCGUUACUUGCUCGUGUACCUUUCGGGAACAUUUUCCUAAGCCCCUUUUUGUGGAUCCAGUUUUAGUAUCGAUUUAUUCAAUUGUUCGCUCUCGGCAAAUCCGACUGCGAUGGGAAUGAAUGUAAUUAAUGGAGAUAUAUGGAGGUUUUUGUAAUUUUCAGCAACCAUCGACUGUCUUAUCGGAUGGAACAACGUAAUUAAUUCCAUUUCGAUUUUCAUAUUCACCCAAUUAAAUAAACAAAUCUUUUCCCGAGAUAAAAUGGGUCCGGCUAAUGCACGUGAUACUGUUUUUCACAUUUAGCUUACGGAUUAAACGAAUGCGUUAUGAAUUAUGAAAUGAUCCACCAAUUUUGUUUUCUCCAUCUGAGUUGAAUUAAAUAAAUCCCGUCAUUAAAUCCGAACGAUCAUCGAUUCGGACGGCGGUAUAUAGUCCUAAUUCACGGAUCGUGGCGAUUUUAUUACGAGAACGGGUAAUGGAGAAUUAAACUUUACUAUCCCGAAACUGCAUUACGCUAAGUAAUAUUACGUGUUCCAUCAACACUUUGUCGUUCACCCCGCUUUGUCGUUCCGCAUUCUCGUGUUUUCUCUCGAUCCCGAGAUUCGCGCGCGGGGAGAAGUUCCAGCACGGACACUCUUUUUUUCCAGCGCGACCUCGCCGUUUACUCGCAGUCGCGGAAGUUAAUAAGUAGGAAGCCUCGACGUAAGCCUCAUAAUAAAGUGGAGAAACGUACGGUCCUCGUUCCCGCGCACCACGGAAAUGUCGGGAAAUAUUUGCUCCGCCAACGGCCGAGUUCCGCCUUGCCGGUUUUUAUUGUAAGUCUCUUGUUUCCCGAAGUUUUCACGGUAGCACACGUUCUUUCGCGGCAGCGAUAAUUAAACGCGACACGAGACCAAGCCUCGUAACAUGACGUUACGCGUGUUCCUUCAAGAAUGCAGGAACAAUCCAGGCGAUCCUGACGCUGCAAUAAAUGCCAUCGAUUCUCUGCCAGAUUCUUUCAAUUGUCCGAGCGCUAUCGAAUCAAAUGCAAUCGCAGAAUUUUUAUCAACUUCAAUUAAAUCUGCGUAAUAGAAGGCUUAGUGUCGGAUAUUUAAUUUCAACUGUUAUCCUUUCGCUUUGUUUCCCCAGCUUACCGCUGUGAAGAGCUUCAUCUUCGCAGUGAUAUCGUACCAUCAUACGUUUCAAUCUACGGAAACGACGCUGCGACGAUUCCGGCGCGGUAUGGCUUUCCGCCGAGUACGCUGACUGCCGUUUCCCGAGUUAAUAGACAGAAAAUCUCGAACGUAAGCCGCAUAAUAAAACAGUGGAGAGCUGGAGCACGCGGUCCUCGUUCUCGUCCCCGCACUCGUUCCCGUAUCCCGAUGUUCUUACGCGACCUGGAAGAAAGGAGACACGAUUCCCCCCUUUUGUGAAAUCUGCUAUACGGCCGUGUCCGCUUCCGCGAGGUCGGGUAUACCGGGUAUAUUUCGUGCACCAGGUGGUACCACGCCGACGGUUAAAACAAUUUGCCAUAAAUUCUCCUCGCGAGCGGAAGGCUACGGGAGGGCGGGGCGAGGAACCGACUGCGGAGCUAGAACGUCGGGAGGAUUCGGGGCAGGGAUUCUGGAAAGAGUCCAUUCGCGAUGAACCGAUUUCAUUUCCUGUCGUUGCGUUUCCGCCAUGCUUAUCCGGCAUGCAAACUGUCGUACUACCUCGUACGUUCGUAAUCUCUCUCUCUUUCUCCGUCUCCCAAUAUCCCAUCCUCGAGAGCUUCAACGACCUCCGUGAUAAUACCUAUUUUUUGUAUGUAAUUAUGACGUCUCUCGAAUGUAAUGUCACAAACCAUGUCCGGUAAUGUACCGAUUAUCGGAAUAAUUUCUGUGUUAUAAACGGGAAGUCGUUAGCGCAAAAGAUGAAAUAAAUCGGAAAUAAUCUUUCCAAAGGGAAACGAGUUGCAGGCUGCAACGGUAAUUUGAGUUCCGCGCGAGCGGAAGGAAGCACUUCGACGAGGCGCGAUCCCGUUUCUGCACUCUCGAGGCAUCGAAAAAAAUGCCUGACAGCUUCUGGAAGCAGCCGGAUGGCCGUACUGAAGAGGCUGGGAAGAUUCAUAAAACAAGAGAAGAAGAGCGAGGGCGACAUAUUGCCGCGCGUGGCAUGUAUUAUGCAUGAAGAGUUCCUGGGUGUCCUCACCCCGCUGCUCCAUCUCCUCCUCCUCCUCAUCCUCCUCCUUGUCGUGUCCCUCCUGCUUUUACGCGGGUCUAUUAAUUCGAAAAAAACUGUUCCUUUGCCACCGUCAUCGCUAUUUCCACGAACGAUCCCGAAACCGCUGACGAACAAACAGCCCUCAAACGCCGCGUCCAUUAUCUCAUCCCCUCGUCGUUUUCCCUUCGCAGCGGCUCUUCGAUUUGGCACAAACGCGAGCGGCAAUUAAUCGAUCGAAAUGAUCCGUAAGCAAACGUCAUAAAAGAAUACAUUCGGUAAAUAACAGUCCAUUUCAGGGGUGCUCGUGUUUGCGUUUGUCGGGAUUUGGAGGAUCCUCGUCACGCAAAACGAGGUCCUCCCGAUAAAAAUAAAUUGAUGUCUUAUGAAACAGAGGCUCUGUGCACGAACAGACCGACCUCCUUAGAGUUUGCUUAUUAAUAUCUUCCAUGGAGAAACUAAAUAUAGCCCGACACGGACGAUCGAUAUUUAUUUGAAUCGGUUAAGGUAAAAGAGACAUCUGUGCAUGAGAGAGUCGCACGAAAUUGCUCUUUUGGUCAACAUAAAUUCACGUAGUUCCAAAGCUCAUAAAGCUCCCUCAAUAUUUUAUUUUAAUCUUCAAAAUUAAUUAAAUAAGUUCGAGACACCUGGUACAGCUUCAAACGCCAGGUACCUUUGAUAAUUAACGGCGUACCGUCAGUUAAGAAGCCGCUCAAUGACGAUUAGAUAACGUCCGUAAUUUAUUUCGCGGCGUGACGCGGGUUUAUUAAACGCCCUUCUCUUCAAAAUCAUCCCUCCCUUUGUCGACACGCAAAUGACGCACGAGCCACCCCCGCGUCCAUCUCUCGCCCAGAUAAAACCAUCCCAUUUGACUGUUCGUGAGUGCUGCAGUUACAAUACCGUCGCCAUCGCAGACGCGAUCACGACGUGUUCGGAAAUCGACGCGGGAAUCUCUUAUAUUGCACCACCAUCCGCUCCGUUUCCCCGCUCUCACGUCGUUGGACGCGCAUGCACGCGGUGGAUGACGCGCGAGAGCGUAAGGGCGAAGGAACGAAGCGAAAGUAAACCGGGCUUGAUGCGAAACCGAUAAUGUCGCCGUCGCUGCAUGUGGCAUUCCAGCCAGCCGAUGGAUUCGGGAAACGCGAACCAUCCCGCGUUCGCCACCCUCCUCCGGAGGAGGACCACCUCCGUCUUUCCGGUCGCUCCCACUUCAUCGGUGGUUCGUGCGAGUGUUCGUCGUCGUCGUCGUCGCAGCCAAUGCCGCAGCCACGACGAACAAAUAUAUAUUAGAUUUUUAUUUGCCUCGUCGGAGGGAUAUUGCAAAUGGAAAACGCGACUGCGGCGCGACAGUGUAUUUCACGAGAAAACAUUCUGCGGGGCUCGUGCAUGCGUGCUCGCGUGCCUGCGUGUAUCGCGAGCUGCGUAUUUCAUACAUGUUUGUGAUCCUUUUUACGUCGCGCGUUCUCGAUGCGAGGCGCGCGACGGUUAGGUAUACACUCACGGGGGAUGAUAAAUUGUAAUAACCCGGUAAGCGGCAGCGUAUCCGCGCGUGGAGCUCCAUGAAAUUUUAAUGCGGCUACGAAGAAUAGAAUGAAUCGAUAUCUGAAUCGGUUUAUGUGCGCGGUGACACACGAGGAGAGUCCGACCGGAGUCGUCCGACGUGUGUUUUGAAAGUUAUAUAUACAAGAUGAAGCAUUAUGCAGAAUUUUACGUCAUUGUAUAAUCGCACGGGCGGUGAAAUUAAUAAUAAUUUGCGCGAUACAUUAAAAUCCCAGAAUUAAUCUAGAGAUUUGUGAAUAAUGCAGUGCGCGAAGUAUUAUGUCUCUCUCUUUCUCGUAUUGUUCUGAACAGCCAGUCGUUUCUCCAAAUUAUUAUCUUUAUUCGGUCUCUUGGACAUCGCAAAUGGAAGGAAACACCCGCAGUCUGGAACUUCGCACUAUUCGCGUAUAAAAUGGCCCAUUGUCCCCGGUGUGCGCGCUGCACAUUUCAAUUCUUCUUACCGCCGGUUGCCUCGUGUUCCUCCGGCGCACCUGAGGUACGCACUUUCCCAUGAAACUGCCACGCUGCGCAUUUUUGCGGGACAAUAUUUCGCCGCGAUUACCAACUACUGACCGUUUUUCUUCAUUUCUGAUACAUUUCGAGGAUGCAGGUAAAGGAGCGCGCGCUGGACGUGCGAUGUGGUACCGCGGAAAUCAUGGAACCGCCAUAAAGCGAGAGAACAUGAAAGAAGAGAGCAUUACGAACAACUCGUAGAUGCAUCUCGACGUCCUCCUGUUCGUUUCGCCACGCGAGAUGCGGAGCGUCCAACGCGAAUGCAAACCGCCCAUCGUCCGCGAUGCAUCGCGCGGCCCGUCCGAUGCAUGCAUCCCCGCAGCGCUCGUAACGCUCGUAUUUUACCACGUGAAGCAUCGUGGGGGAUGCGUCGGGCGAUUUACGAGGGUGAGAAGAUUUAGGAGCGAAAGGCCGACGCGAGGAAUCGGGGGCGCGCCGGCAGCGCGAUAUUCAAGAUAUUCAACGACGACGUAGCUGUUCAAAUUGCGAUUAUUGUCCUGGUAAAAGAGAGGAAGAGGCCUGCGCGAAUCAGCCGUUUAACAUUCGCUCCUCAUAUCUUCCGGUGAGUGGAAAAAAAUGUAGAAGAGGGAUUUCCUUCUUUUCCUGGCACAUUACAGCGCUUUAAAGAUAGAAAAAUCGUUAUUUGUCUCUUAACACGGUCGAUUAGACGUCAAAGAGGAGAAAUGGACGCAAAGGCGCAGAUGGAUCCUUUGUGACGGAGAAGCGCAAUAGUAACGUGGGAUACUUUUCGGCAAAGUCAGAUAACGGAUUCCUCUCGGGAGAAACGGGGAAUCCUCCAGGAGUUUGCCGCGGAUAUCUGCUGUACAAAAAGCGUGCGAGUGCGCGAGCAUGCGCGCACGUUUGUUGCGCUCGAGAAAAUUCAGGUCGACGGUAUUCUCUUGAAUCGAGAUCCCUCGGUACCGUAAACCACGAAGCAUCGACGCGAAAGCUGCAGCUUCAAACUGUGUACCUGCAGGCGCAGAUUCUGCAAUUUAUAGCUCUUGUAAAUGCAAAUGCUACUGAGUUUCCAGCCGAUAAAUGAUGGCGUUAAAACAGUUUGAAUGUACGGUAAAAGUGCUGAUUUCUUUGUGUCACCCGUUAAAUCUUUUUAUCUACUUGUCCACAUGUAUGUGUAAUGAUGAAGUAUAUUGUAAUGUACAGCAUUCCGCGCACACGCGCGCGUAAAAGUGUCAGAAAAGCACGACUUACCGCGCGAGUGGAUAAUUUAGUAGCUUUUACAUGUACAAUCUUUCUCGUUGUAUCUCGAAUUGACAAAAAAAUGUUUAAAAAAUGUACUCGAGAACGCUGACUUAGCAUAAUCUCGAACUAUUAAAUAAUCGAAUUUUUUAAAUUUUCCUAAGCAGGUUGCUCCAUUCUCUCAGCGCACAGAAUUCUGAUUUCAGGAGUCGCAUGUACACACAUCAAGCGCAGAGUAUCUCACGCUUGACAGCAUAAUUCACGAGAUUACACUAACAGUUAUUGACGCAACGGAUUGGCGGCAAUAUUUCAAGAUACCGGAGAGCAGGAUAUUGAGGCGAGGAGGAAUAAGUGCACGUCGGAGGAGCCCGAGGAGUGAUCGAUCGGCUUCACGUCGUCGUCGUCGCGUCGUCAAACAAUGGAUGAUACACCGAACGUAAUAUCACUGUCAAAAUAAUGGCGCUGCGCGGGUUCACGUUCGCGGCUUUGCAAAUAUUGUGAAUACCGUGUCGCUCUGGGCCGCGGGCGCAUUUUGACGUCGUAUAUUAAAUUCUGACUGUGCUGAUAGGCAUAGUUCACGAAGGCGGAGUAUGUCAGCUGCAUACCGGGCUCAUUACCGUUGUGGAGCACGCCACGACUGAAAAGCACCGUGCUGCCUUUGUCGUACGACGCGACGGUACGACGAUAUCACGACGAGGUCGGGAAACAACCAGCGCGGCUCUUCUAACUUUCGAGAACGACGGCGCCGUGUGACGGUCGGACGCGUGACCGGAUUGACGGAGCGGCGAACUUAAUUAUGGAGAUCCAAUGGAGAUCCGUUCCUGGGCAAACAUGCGUUCAGUCCCUGCUUUAGGCGUCUUACGGGAUAGUUAAAGUUCCGACAGCAAGUAAAGCGACGAGUAAAGGAAGCACUUCGCCACGGAGAUUAUUAAGAUAGUUUUUACUUCUUGUUGUAUAUAAUAUAAAUAUUGCGCUAGGGAAAUGCAAGCGCGUACUAGUACAUCGCAACUUUUUAACGAUUUUUUGAAACUUUUUUCUAGACGUAACGUUAGAGUGUGAACGUGCUCGCUUUUACAUAUCACCCAAGGAAGGGUAUAUCCAGGUAAGACGCGCACUUCGAUUUUCUUUAUGCGCGAGGAAACGUAAGCUUGUUUGCACCGCCGCGGCCGUUGCGAAAUGCAUAAUCUUGUACAGUGUAUUAUCGCGUAACACGUAUGCGCGACACACAAUAGCGAGAACUCGCCUGGUUGCAGCUAUUACAUUAUCACGACGACGUGAAAGUCUACAUGUUGUUCCGUUAUUGGGGUCUCUAUUUCAUUUUCCAUUGUUAUCCGUUAUUAUAUUUCCAUUAUUGUCGCUACAGCGUUUGUUCGUUCGAAAAGAAUAUCAAAGUCAUUUUCCUCCAGUAUCAUAAAUGACAUGCGCUUGUUGAUAUCCGCCAACCGCGGUAUCAGUAUCGCCGACGUAAAAUGAUGGACGAUAAAAAUGAGCACGAGAGGAAGGUAGGUUACUGCUAGAUUGAUCACAGUUGCAUCAUUCUCGAAACGAUGAUGUUGUCAGCGUUCGGAAAUCCGCUUAAACGUAAUACGAAUUCGCAGAUAACGCCAAUCAGCCUAUGGCUAGCAAUGCCGAUGAGGAUUCCAUCGAUUUCCGGUCGUGGAGCAAUUUGCGAAUGUCGAGGUACGGUCGCCGUCGAGCUGAAAGUUGAUGACGGAGGGUCGCAAGUGACGAACGAAUUGGAUAAAUCGGUCCGGCUUCGGCGCGACAAUUAGCUAAUGCACAAACCUGCCGCGACAUGCAUUACGUACAUAUACCAGAGUUGCGGGCGAUUACGGUACAAAAGUCACAAUGCAUUUAUGUCGUUUACGUUUUAUCCGAUUACUUUCAGUGAGAUUGUUCUGUCCCGCAACUCGGAACAGAUUUUUCUCUUAAUAAAAGGAUUGUAAAUUAAUAAAAUUUCUAAUUACGCGUACAAGGUUUUUCGGUGAAAAUAAUGUUAUAACAAAGCAAACUUUCGAGCUGAAACUGUGAUUGAUUACAAUGGAUAUUUUAUCGAAUAUUCGUGCCGCAAUGUGUUAUUUCUUCAGUGCGUAUUUUGAGCGCCGCUACUAAAAAUAUAACAAAAAUCACUACAUUUCGCGAUAUAGACGGAUACGUCUAUAAAAUACGAGGAUAUAUUGUAUUUAAUUCUCCCGAUAAUAUUGCUUUAAAUUAAUAUUCAGCACGCGUUAUUCCCGUCGCUCGUCAAAAGGACGUUGCACUCCGGGGACGUAAUUCCAGUAAUUUUUUACGCAUGAUCACCUUUUUCAGAUGAACGAGCGGAGUCGGGGUUCGACGACGUACCAUCGGAAGUGACGAGUAAAUUGGACAAAUCGGUAACCGAUAUCAACGCAACAAUUAGCUAAUGCAUCGAGAGGCGCGGCCCUGCAUCGUGCGCGAUAUACGCGAGUUUUACGAGCGAGCCGAUGGGAGAACUCUCGGACCGCGAGAAAAUUCGCUUUUCCAGACACCCUCGGCCCAACCCCGCCGAUAAUUGCAGACCAUAAAGUGCGAUCCAACAUUCGCCACCCCUACGGCCAACCCCUCGCCUUUUCUACACCGAGCUGGAAAAAACCUCGCACAGUCUCUCUUUCUCUGUUUUUUCUGCCAUUCAUUUCUUUUCUUUCUCUCUCUCUCUCUUUUCAAGUGUCUGCGGAAGACCGACAAUCCAAAAGAAAGGAAUAGCGGUUACGAGGGUGAAUCCUCUCUCUCGCGCGCUUCCUCACAGAUUUUUAAUGGUUAUCGUUUUUUAAUGGACCUGUGCGCCGCGCACGUAUGGUUGCUUGAAAAGAUUAUGGCGGAACUGAAGCAUUGUUUGCAUUAAUGGCGAGAGGUCGAGAAUUAUUCGAGUGGUCGUGGGCUACGGGAAAAACGAUGGCAAAUAUUUUGAAUUGUCGCCGAGUGAACUCGACGAGUUUCGUUUGCAAUCCAACGUGAUACUGCAGCGAGAUGUAGCCCAAUUUUUCCGCCACUAAUGAUUAUAUAAUAAUGAAAUUUGGCAAAAAUUAGAACACUUAUGUAUCAUGUAUCUUGCGUUUAUAACCUUCUGAUUAAUCAGAAUAACAAAUAUCUUUUGAUUGAACUUGGAUGCAUAAUAAUAUGUGCUCGUCAUUUCAGUAUAUACAAUAAAUAAUGAAAAUGAUUGUAGUUACUUAAGAGUUAUUUUCAAUAAAAGACGUGAACAUAGACCAUUAAAUUACGAUGAUACAUUAAUUUCUAUGUGAACCGAAAUUGUUUAAUUUAUAUGCGUAUUGCUAUACGCGAUUAUGUGAAAUUGCGAUUAUUCAUACCAGCGCGAAUUAUUAUUUAGAGUACCAUCAGGAGUGGCAUUACAUUACACAUUCAAUCAGCGGCCCCUUUAAAAUGAUGCAUGCGGUAAUGUGGCUAUAUUUAUUAUUAUUAGCUGGACAAGCGAACAUGCUUGUUUACGCGCCGAUACGUGUUCGUGGUACGGUGGAGGCCACAUCGUCGGUCGUAAAGGUUUAAUCGAUUCUCGACCGGAUCUCGAGCACGCUGUGCGCACGCGACGUACAUCGUGCACCCCGACCUACGAUUUCACCCUCUUUUUACCAUUCGCACGGCGUAUUCGUCCGCCUAUUUCGUAACAUUGCACCGAUUUCACGUGGUCGAGAGUUCGUAUCGAAACGAGGGACCGUCCGGAACGAGUUACGCCUACUUCGCAGCUUCCCAUGUGACAAGAAAGUGAUGACUAUAAAACAAAGAUCUUGUCCUUUAUUUGGUGCAAUAAAAGUUUUAUUGCGGCAUUGACAAACGUUUUUCUUUUUCUUUUUCUUUUUAACAAAUGACUCUUAUUAUCCUCGGGUCAAACGCGAAGUGACUUUUAUUGCUGUCGAAGUGACAGAGAAGCUUACGAUUCGAUUCCGGAAUUGGACGCGAUUGCAUUUUCGUCGACGUAGAUCACUUGGUUCGUUUCGGACAUCGUAAAUUUUUUACCGGCUUUCGACAGUUCGCGUUGGCGAUACCUAUCAACUGCGACCCGUGAUUUCACCCUUCUCGUUAUUCGCACAGCGUACUUGACCCGUCGCUUCCACCCACCGUCACGCUAAUUUCCCGUAAUCGAGUGCACGGUGCUACGUAAAAAUCUGCUCACGAUUUUACAUUCUCUUUGGUGUGUUAUUAUCUCGAAAUCACGCCGCUUCUCCACGAGCGCUGCUGUGUUUCGGCCUUUCGAUUAGUUUCUACUUGCUAUCAGCCAUCAAGCAAUUAUGCUCGACUUCCGCUAUUUUUGCGCUGUUAAUUAUUAUCAAUCAAGAUUACUCAUGCAAUGUUAUAUAAAAUAAGAUAGAGGUAAAACGAUAAGACGAUUGUAAAUUUUUUCACACAUUUAAAGUCUCUUCUUAAAAUCUUAAAAAUAAUGGAAAAUAAUAAAUAAUCAUAAUGAUAAA